rnacentral:rRNA from 1 species
AAAACUUUCAACAACGGAUCUCUUGGUUCUGGCAUCGAUGAAGAACGCAGCGAAAUGCGAUAAGUAAUGUGAAUUGCAGAAUUCAGUGAAUCAUCGAAUCUUUGAACGCACAUUGCGCCCCUCGGUAUUCCGGGGGGCAUGCCUNGUUCGAGCAGUCAUU